rnacentral:rRNA from 1 species
GGAGUUUGGUCCGUGUCUCAGUACCAAUGUGGGGGACCUUCCUCUCAGAACCCCUACUGAUCGUUGCCUCGGUGGGCCGUUACCCCGCCGACAAGCUAAUCAGACGCAUCCCCAUCCCUCAGCGAUCAAUCUUUGCUCCUCGUUAGAUGCCUGCAAAGGAGAACAUAGGGUAUUAAUCCGACUUUCGCCGGGCUAUGCCCUACUGAGGGGAAGGUUGGAUACGCGUUACUCACCCGUGCGCCGGUCGCCAUCAGAAGUUGCAAGCAACUCCCAUGAUGCCCCUCGACUUGCAUGUGUUAAGCCUGUAGCUAGCGUUCAUC